AUUGAACGCUGGCGGAAUGCCUUACACAUGCAAGUCGAACGGCAGCACGGACUUCGGUCUGGUGGCGAGUGGCGAACGGGUGAGUAAUGUAUCGGAACGUGCCCAGUCGUGGGGGAUAACGUAGUGAAAAUUACGCUAAUACCGCAUACGAUCUAUGGAUGAAAGCGGGGGAUCGCAAGACCUCGCCGCAUUGGCGCAGCCGAUAUCAGAUUAGGUAGUUGGUGGGGUAAAGGCCCACCAAGCCAACGAUCUGUAGCUGGUCUGAGAGGACGACCAGCCACACUGGAACUGAGACACGGUCCAGACUCCUACGGGAGGCAGCAGUGGGGAAUUUUGGACAAUGGGCGAAAGCCUGAUCCAGCCAUUCCGCGUGCAGGAUGAAGGCCCUCGGGUUGUAAACUGCUUUUGUACAGAACGAAAAGGUUUCUACUAAUACUAGGAGCUCAUGACGGUACUGUAAGAAUAAGCACCGGCUAACUACGUGCCAGCCGCCGCGGUAA
rnacentral:rRNA from 1 species